GCCUGUGUAGCUCAGUUGGUUAGAGCGCUGCACCUGAAUCGCAGGGCCGUAGGUUCGAUUCCUACCAGAGGAC
rnacentral:tRNA from 1 species